UGGGGAAUAUUGCACAAUGGGCGAAGCCUGAUGCAGCAACGCCGCGUGAGUGAUGAAGGCCUUCGGGUUGUAAAGCUCUGUCUUUUGGGACGAUAAUGACGGUACCAAAGGAGGAAGCCACGGCUAACUACGUGCCAGCAGCCGCGGUAAUACGUAGGUGGCAAGCGUUGUCCGGAUUUACGGGCGUAAAGGAUGCGUAGGCGGAUUUUUAAGUGAGAUGUGAAAUACCCGGGCUUAACUUGGGUGCUGCAUUUCAAACUGGGAAUCUAGAGUGCGGGAGAGGAGAAUGGAAUUCCUAGUGUAGCGGUGAAAUGCGUAGAGAUUAGGAAGAACACCAGUGGCGAAGGCGAUUCUCUGGACCGUAACUGACGCU
rnacentral:rRNA from 1 species